CUUACUUUCCAGUUUGAAAAAAAACUACAGCAAAAUUAUGAAAUAAGGUAAUAAACAGAAAUGAACCUUCCACCUUAAAUGAGCACAUUGAAACAUUUGCAUCUAACUUUUCCAUUUAUUUGUGGAAGUGAACCGUGACAGGUAGACGGAAUCCUCCGCAGUCCUCCCCGGAGUUACCGCGAUCCACCACUGAACGCAGGGCCUGCGGAGCCCACACUCCCCUGCUUUCGUCAGGCGCACGCUAGAGGUGGGGCUACGUGUUUGCCCUGCAUACGUAUGAUUCACUUAGUCAUCUGCAUACUCGAACACGGAUAGUAUGUUCUGGACUUGGCUUCUUCUGGAACUCUGUGAAGCACAGAGAACGCAGGAAAGAACCCAAAUGAACGCAGCCCUCCCCGCGCUGGGGAACAUGAGUUUCCUGGGGAACCAUGUAACAGCUCCGAAUCCUGUUCCCAUCAACUGCGAGUGCCCUGGGCCUGUUCGUGCGUGCAUCUGGUUACAGAUGCAGGAAGGACGGGAGGAGCCGGGCAUGGGUCUGGAG
rnacentral:lncRNA from 1 species